rnacentral:rRNA from 1 species
UAGGGAAUCUUCGGCAAUGGACGCAAGUCUGACCGAGCAACGCCGCGUGAGUGAGGAAGGCCUUCGGGUCGUAAAGCUCUGUUGCCAGGGAAGAACGGUGGGGAGAGUAACUGCUCCCCGCGUGACGGUACCUGAGAAGAAAGCCCCGGCUAACUACGUGCCAGCAGCCGCGGUAAUACGUAGGGGGCAAGCGUUGUCCGGAAUUAUUGGGCGUAAAGCGCGCGCAGGCGGCUAUUUAAGUCUCAUGUUUAAACCCAAGGCUCAACCUUGGAUCGCAUGGGAAACUGGGUGGCUUGAGUGCAGAAGAGGAGAGCGGAAUUCCACGUGUAGCGGUGAAAUGCGUAGAGAUGUGGAGGAACACCAGUGGCGAAGGCGGCUCUCUGGUCUGUAACUGACGCUGAGGCGCGAAAGCGUGGGGAGCAAACAGG